rnacentral:rRNA from 1 species
UACAGAGGGUGCAAGCGUUAAUCGGAAUUACUGGGCGUAAAGGGCGCGUAGGCGGUUUUGUAAGUUAGAUGUGAAAUCCCCGGGCUUAACCUGGGAACUGCAUUUAAUACUGCAAGGCUAGAGUAGAAGAGAGGGAAGUGGAAUUUCCGGUGUAGCGGUGAAAUGCGUAGAUAUCGGAAAGAACACCAGUGGCGAAGGCGACUUCCUGGCUUCAUACUGACGCUGAGGCGCGAAAGCAUGGGUAGCAAACAGG